rnacentral:lncRNA from 1 species
AAAAUAGGAGAAAUAAUUGGUGUAAUCGAGGGGGUUUAAUUCAAUUUCACAGAAUCUCAAAGGUUUUAAACCCUAAUUCGAGAAGAUUCGACAAUAUGAAGUGGAAUGAAUUUAUCAAAAGAAUGAAAAUAAUAAUAAUAAUAAUAAUACCUACCUUUGAGCGCGUUCGUCGAUAGAGAGAGACGAGGGAAGGAUUAUAGAAAACCAAUGGAAGAAAACAAA